rnacentral:rRNA from 1 species
CCUACGGGAGGCAGCAGUGAGGAAUAUUGGUCAAUGGGCGCAAGCCUGAACCAGCCAAGUCGCGUGAGGGAUGGCGGUCCUAUGGAUUGUAAACCUCUUUUGUCGGGGAGCAAGGCCCGCCACGGGUGGCGGGAAGGAGAGUACCCGCAGAAAAAGUAUCGGCUAACUCCGUGCCAGCAGCCGCGGUAAUACGGGGGGUGAGAGCGUUAUGCGGAUUUAGUGGGGUUAAGGGGUGCGGAGGCGUAAGGUUGAGUCAGCGGUCAAGUGCCGGUGCUCAACACCGGACUGCCGUUGAAACUGGUCGACUUGAGUGAGCGAGAGGUAUGCGGAAUGCGUGGUGUAGCAGUGAAAUGCAUAGAUAUCACGCAGAACUCCGAUUGCGAAGGCAGCAUACCGGCCCUCAACUGACGCUGAGGCACGAAGGCGUGGGGAUCGAACAGGAUUAGAUACCCUAGUAGUC